rnacentral:rRNA from 1 species
UGUUCUAGCUUAUUGGUCCAGCUAAAUGGUAUUUUCUGUAAGAACAAAGACUGGCCAUGGCAAAUUAGAGAGCUUGAGGAGAAGAAAUACCUACUUAGAUUCCCACCUUGGAAAAAAGUAGAAGACCUGAUUGAGUUCCCUGCAUUUGACCUCCCGAUUGAUGGAGUUUCUAUUAAGAUAUGUGAAUGUGAGGGAAUGAUGGAGGCGUUUGGUCAGUUGUCUGAAGCUUGGGUACAAGUUGAGGGGAUUCCUCCCAAGUGGUGUGCAUGGAAAGUGUUUACACAGGUUGCUUCGUGUUUUGGCAUCCUUGUGGAUGUGGACUGGAAUGGGAUUUUCAGAAGUUUCUAUGAGAUUAUCAUAAUUAAAGUUGCUUGUAGGGAUCCUGCCAAAAUUCCUUUUGAGAGAUUGGUGGAGAUGAAGAAAAAGCUAUAUAUGAUAUUUUUCACCGUGGAAGGAUUUGAACAGGCGCGAGACAACUCUGAUGCUAACGACAGUGAUCCUUAUAUUGAUAAUGCUGUAGAGAAAAAGGAAGAUAAUGGUAAUGAGCAAUUUGAGAAGGACAAGAUGGAAGAGGAUGGUGAUGAGCCUAUUGAUCAACUUGACAGAGCAAAUUUCCCUCAUAAGAACAUCUCUGCUGCUAAAAGUAAGAACAUGAUGGUAGUUGUUUCUGCAGCUGAGUUUCAUCCUCCAAAACUUGUUGAUUGCUUCCAUGAACAGUUCAUUGAAGAAAUCAGAGACAAAAGCCCUGUGAAUUCUAGCCCUUCUAGUCCCUGUCCGGCUCUUGUUGGUUCUCCUUCCACAUUUGGCUCUGAACCUUUGUCUGUCCAUAUGGACUGUUGCUCUGCCCAGUUAAGUAAGUUUGAAAUGGAAGACUCUGAUGAGGAAGAGGAGCACUGCUUAACUGAUAUGCAAUGUUUACCUGAUGAUCUGGCGGUGGCCCUUGGAUCUGUUAAGAGAUCACUCCCGGAAACACUAGAGAAAGCUGAAUCAGACAAGAAGAUGAAGUGUGAUGUGGACAAUAAUGUGGGGGUGGGGGCCUGUGCUCUCUAA